GGAUGUGAGGGUGAUCUAGCUGUGACAUCUGUCACUCCAUUGAUCGCCAGGGUUGAUUUGGCUGAUCUGGCUGGCUAGGCGGAUGUCCCCUUCCUCCUUCACCACUCCAUGUGCGACGACCAUCCCGGAUAGAGGAGGACCAUUCUUUGGUCAAGGGUAUAUGAGUAGCUGCGCUCCCCUGCUAGAAUCUCCAAACAAGCUCUCAAGGUCCUAGAAGUGGAAUUGUUGAAUCAUAUAGUAAUUCUAAUUUUAAUAUUUUGAGGAACUAUAAUAUUUU
rnacentral:snRNA from 1 species